rnacentral:rRNA from 1 species
GGGCCUUCCUGGAGUGGCCUGUAUUCGUGCUUCUCUUCGGAGACGCGAAGCUACCCGACCUGAUGUCAUUUUAUCCGAGGGCGCGCCCGCUUGAGAAGACAGCGGUUUGACGUUGUGGUGUUACCCGGACGAGGCGCUUGUCUCGUAAGGGGAAGCUUCCGGGUCGGGCCGUGGCGCGUUCCUUGGCACAACUUUCCGCGGAAGUGGUAGGCGUUGACUUGCCCGCCGCGGGCCAUACUUUUCACAACUCUCGAAGAAAACCUGAAGUCUGAAUACCAAAACAAAAACGAAAAGCAAAACUUUCAACAACGGAUCUCUUGGCUCUGGCAACGAUGAAGAACGCAGCGAAACGCGAAAGGUAAUGCGAAUUGCAGAAUCAGUGAGUCAUCGAAUCUUUGAACGCACAUUGCGCCUCUCGGUAUUCCGGGAGGCACGCCUGUUCGAGCGCCAUUACAAACUCCAAGCGUGGCUUGAUGUUGGGCGAUGUCUUUUUGCGAGAGCGGGAGACACGCCUGGAACGCGUUGGCGCCGCCGCCGGACCACGAGCGUAGCAAGACGAGAGUCAAUCGCAUCGAUUUGGUUUCCGACGGAGGUCCGCCUUGUGACUGCACUUUCGAGUGUAGUUGAAAAACUUCUCAAGUUUGGCCUCGGAUCAGGCGGGGAUACCCGCUGAACUUAAGCAUAUCAAUAGGCGGAGGAAGGAUCAUUACUGAGUGGCUGUAUUCGUGCUUCUCUUCGGAGACGCGAAGCUACCCGACUGAAUGUCAUUUUAUCGAGGGCGCGCCUGCAUAAGAAGACGCUUUGAGUUUGUGGUGUUACCCGGACGAGGCGCUUGUCUCUAAGGGGAAGCUUCUGGUCGAGUCGUGGCGCAUUCUUGUGCACCCAUACGUGAUAGGCGAUGAGGUGGCCUACUCUCACUCCAAAAACCGUAAGCUGUAUUCAAACAAGCAAGAUAACUUACACAGAACUUGGUCCGGCAGAUGUAGAAUAGCAAUCCAUAGUAUUUGCAC